CCGAACGUGAAACCGCCGCCGAUUUGGCGGUCGUGGGCGGCUGUUGUGUCCCCCUGGCGGCGCGCCUGGAAAGCUGUAGUUGGAUCGCGAGAGUCGGUCGGUGGCGCCGAGUGGUCGGCCAUGGCCAUUGUCGUUGAUAAGCGUGUGGGAUAUGCCACGUGUCGCUCUCGUAUCGCAAUCGUCGUAUCGUAUCGUGUCGAUGUGUUCGGGUUGAAAAUACGACCUAAAGCUAACGUCAUUCGUUUCGUUUCGUAACAUAUGGUGCCGAAACUACCCGGGAUCGGUUGGAAUCGCUCGUGAAAUGGCCGAUCUUGAGAAACUGAAGCGGCGCAAGAUAAGCGCUCAAGGGUGGCUCACUCGAACAGUUGUGAAACUCGAGCAAAGCCUGUCUUUGAAGGAGGUUAAAGUGAUUGACCUCGAAAGUUUGCUCUGUGACUUUGAUAAGCGGCUGAGUGAUUUUGAUGUUGCUGAGGAGCUACUCGAGCAAGAGCUUCCAGAAGAUGGCAUCAUGGAAGCCAUCGAAGCCGCUGGUGAGAUCAGAGACCGUGCUGUGGAUGUGCGAAACAAAGCCCAGCAAACUCUUGGUGUUCUUAAGGUGAAGGAUGGGGCUGAUGACUCGGCUUCUUGUGCCAGUGCGUCUCAGCUUGGAUCAGCUGAUCCUUCCGUCAAGCUCCCAAAGCUUCAGUUGCCCAAGUUUUCUGGCAACGUGCUUGAGUGGCCUCAGUUUUGGGAUGCUUUUUCUGUGACUGUGGAUGCCAGUGACUUACCCGAGGUGACCAAGCUGACAUAUCUCAGAUCCUUGCUGACUGGAGAAGCAGCAAAGAGUGUCGAGGGUCUUGCGUUGUCAAAAGUGAACUACAAGACAACCUGUGAGAUUCUCAAGGACAGGUUUGGCAGAAAGGAGCAGAUUAUAUACAACCAUAUUCAGGCGCUCCUGCAGUCGAGUUGUGAUAAGAAGUCUGAAGGCCUUAAGUCUUUCCAGGAUGAACUCUUAGUUCAUGUCAGGAGUCUGGAGAACUUGGACAUUACUGGUGAGAGGUAUGGCGUCGUGCUGACACCUAUCAUUGUGUCACGCCUGCCUGAAGUGAUUCGGAUGGAAUGGGCCAGGAAGAGUGCUGGUAAGGAAGCUGACUUGGAGUUUCUGUUAGAGUUCUUGAAGGAGGAGAUUCAGUGCCGUGAACGCUCACAGACAUUCAAGUGUGGUGCAAUGGCCAGUGAUUCUGGAAGAGAGACGGAGAAGAAGAGAGAUCAUCAAGCAGGCCGAUUUGCUGGUCAGAGACAGAGAGUGGCUGCAGCGUCAGUGCUUCACACUGCUGCUGCCAGGUCUAACUGUGGGAUUUGCCAUGACUCCCACCCGCCGGCCAAGUGUCCGGAAUUGCUGAAGCUGGCUGUAAGGGACAGGCCAGGGAAGAUAAGAGACUCAGGUUUGUGUUUUCGAUGCCUCAAGGAGGGCCACAGAGGUAACUCGUGCGGUGCGAGGUGUGAUAACUGUCGAGGUAAGCACCACGCUGUGUCAUGUUUCAGGAUGGCUGCCCCAGCUGCAGCCCCAGUGAGUUCUCAUGUGAUGUCUCAGUCAGCUGAUGAUGUUAGAGCUCAAAGUGUGCCCAAAUCACCCAAUGUGAACCUGUCAUGCUCAGAACCAGCUGGCAGUCAGAGUGUUGUGCUUCCUACUGCUGCUGUGUUAGUGCAGGGUCGUGAUGGUAGGACUGUCCGAGCUACUGUCCUCUUUGAUACUGGAUCGAACAGAUCGUAUGUGUCAUCUAGUCUUGUGCGCAGAUGUGCUCCUGAGUGGGUUGAGAGCAGGGAAAUAUCUUACACUGCAUUCGGUGGCAGUGAAAGUGGCUCUAAGUCCAGGAACAUCUAUUGUGUUCAGAUGUCUGGUGCACAUGUUUCAGACCCGGCAGUGGUCCGGGUGGAGGCUGCUGAGGUUCCAGUGAUUUGCUCCCCUCUGGCCCGGCCGUCGGUUCCCUCCAGCCUGCUGGCCUUGUUCGGCAACCUGGAGCUGGCUGACCCUCCGGGUGAUGGUGAGGUUGGCUAUGGAGCUGCGGUGUACCUGCGCCUGACACUGAGGGACGGCUCGGUGGUGACACCGCUGGUGAUGUCUCGAGCCAGGGUGGCCCCGCUGAAGCAGGUCAGCUUACCCAGGCUGGAGCUGCUUGCCAGCCUGCUGGCUGCUCGUCUGCUCAGGUUUGUCUGUCGCGCUUUGAAGCUCCCCUCUGAGACUCUGUAUUGGUGCUGGACAGACUCUAUGGUGUCACUCGGCUGGAUCAAAGGUGAUCCAUCCAGGUGGAAGCAGUUUGUGAAGAAUAGAGUGAUUGAGAUUCAGAGUUUGACUGAUCCUGCACAGUGGUCUCAUUGUCCUGGUCAGGACAACCCGGCUGACCUGAUCACGAGGGGUGUGUAUGCUGAGGCACUGACUGACUCACCUUGGUUCUCUGGCCCCGACUGGCUGAGUGACUGUGCUGGUGCUGACUUGUUGAGUUCACCUGAGGUCUUGCUGCCAGAGUCUGAGCUGUUCUCAGCAGCAGAAGGUGAGCCGGCAGCAGCAGCUGUCGAGUCGGCCAGUGCUGACGUGUCGAGUUCUCCGGAGUCAGAGCUGUUCGUGGCAGCUGAGGGUCAGUUGGCAGCAGCAGCGGCCACAUCUGACUGUUCGCAGCCUGUGUUUGAGCACGAGCUGCUCAAACACUGCGGUGUUGACACCCUCCUGACGACCCUGAGGAAUGAGUACUGGAUCGUUGGAGGGAGGAGAGCGGCCAAAAGGGUGAAGCGGGCCUGCACAGCGUGUCAGAGGCAAGAUGCUGCUGCCCUCAACGCGCCAGUGGCGCCUCUACCGGCUCAGCGGGCUAGUAAGGCUCCGCCUUUCUCAGUGACGGGCGUUGAUUUUUGUGGCCCGCUCUUCUGCUUGCCCAAGCAGAAGGUGUAUGUCUGUCUAUUCACAUGCGCUGUAACCAGAGCUAUUCACCUUGAGUUGACGGAUUCCAUGUCCCAGUCAGAUUUUUUGCUGGCGUUCAGAAGGUUCUGUGCCAGACGUGGUACCCCUACGAUGAUGUAUUCGGACAACGCCAAGACGUUUAGAGCCGCGGCUACCAGCCUGUUAGCUGAGCUGGGUCCGGCGGGCCCAGAGUGGAAGUUUAUUGCCCCCCGCGCGGCAUGGUGGGGCGGUCACUGGGAGCGGUUAGUUCGUACUGUUAAGAGCUCCCUGAGAAAGACUCUCGGCAGGAGCGUCCUCUCCAAGGUGGAGCUGGAAACGCUGCUUUUGGAGGUGGAGGCCUGUGUAAAUUCUCGUCCACUAACCUUUGUCAGUGAUGAUGUGGACGGAGCUCGGCCUCUAACCCCGAGUCACUUUCUGUCCGGCAGAGUAGCCGGUGUUCGUGCGUUUGUGGUUGAUGAUUCGGACCAGGUUUCAGCGUCGUCCCUGACGGAGAGGGACGUUGAGCACCAGAACAUGUUGGCGAAGUUCUGGAGUGUGUGGCAGACUGACUACCUCCGCAGCCUGCCGCAUUCGGUUAAGAAGUUUAAGUCUCGUGGGAAGCUCCAGAUAGGUUCCGUUGUUCUCAUUCGGGAGGACAAUGUCCCGAGGCUGCACUGGUUGAUGGGAGUAGUAGAACACCUUCAUCCGGGCAGUGAUGGUGUCGUGAGAGCCGCCGACGUCAGGACGGCUCAGGGCGUUCGUACGCGGCCAGUACAGCGUCUGCAUGACUUGGAAGUCUUGGAUUAGGAGUAGCUCAAGUUCCGAUGUACCGUGCCUUUGAUGAAGCGUUGCGCGCAUUGUCAUCGUUGCGAGUGUUAUUUUAUCGUGUAUAUCGUCGUGUGUUAGUAUUAAGUGAAGUGUCGUAUCUCGUUUGCUGUUAGACCGUUAAUGUAUGUUACCGUUCUAACAGGCGGGGAGUGUUACCGAACGUGAAACCGCCGCCGAUUUGGCGGUCGUGGGCGGCUGUUGUGUCCCCCUGGCGGCGCGCCUGGAAAGCUGUAGUUGGAUCGCGAGAGUCGGUCGGUGGCGCCGAGUGGUCGGCCAUGGCCAUUGUCGUUGAUAAGCGUGUGGGAUAUGCCACGUGUCGCUCUCGUAUCGCAAUCGUCGUAUCGUAUCGUGUCGAUGUGUUCGGGUUGAAAAUACGACCUAAAGCUAACGUCA
rnacentral:misc_RNA from 1 species